GUAGGUGGCAAGCGUUGUCCGGAAUUAUUGGGCGUAAAGCGCGCGCAGGCGGGGGUUUUUUAAGUCUGAUGUGAAAGCCCACGGGCUCAACCGUGGAGGGUCAUUGGAAACUGGAGAACUUGAGUACAGAAGAGGAAAGCGGAAUUCCACGUGUAGCGGUGAAAUGCGUAGAGAUGUGGAGGAACACCAGUGGCGAAGGCGGCUUUCUGGUCUGUAACUGACGCUGAGGCGCGAAAGCGUGGGGAGCAAACAGGAUUAGAUACCCUGGUAGUCCACGCCGUAAACGAUGAGUGCUAAGUGUUAGGGGGGUUUCCGCCCCUUAGUGCUGCAGCUAACGCAUUAAGCACUCCGCCUGGGGAGUACGGCCGCAAGGCUG
rnacentral:rRNA from 1 species